rnacentral:siRNA from 1 species
AGGGGGUCCCGUUGAACUGC